UACGUAGGGGGCAAGCGUUGUCCGGAUUUAUUGGGCGUAAAGAGCGUGUAGGCGGUUAGGUAGGUCCGUUGUGAAAACUCGAGGCUCAACCUCGAGACGCCGAUGGAAACCAUCUGACUAGAGUCCGGAAGAGGAGAGUGGAAUUCCUGGUGUAGCGGUGAAAUGCGCAGAUAUCAGGAGGAACACCAAUAGCGAAGGCAGCUCGCUGGGACGUUACUGACACUGAGGCGCGAAAGCGUGGGGAGCGAACAGG
rnacentral:rRNA from 1 species